rfam:Azospirillum lipoferum strain R1C genome assembly, contig: Ga0048941_15
GUUCGGGUCCGGGCCCCUCUGGCGACCGAGGCGUCGGUCGUGAUGUCGGAACCGCUUG